UUUUCAUUUCAGCUUUCUCUCUCUACCCGAGAGCUUCUCUCUCUACCUCUCACCUGAAAUGGCCGCUGCCGCACCGUCGCCGGAAUCCCAAUCCUCACCAAAAUUUCCAGAUUUUCUUCUCUUCAUCCCCUCUUUCCAUUUCUCCAACCAAAAUCAUGAAAUUUAGCCAUUUAACCCUCCAAAAACCCUAGAACCCGAAGCUAAAAUUGGGGCUUUUGUGAUUUCUUCUUUCCAAGUUCAAAUCAAGCUAGGCUACGGGUUUGACAAUGAUUUAUGGUGAAGAAGGCCAAGGAGGAGGAUUUGGCCGUGAGUUUUGAAGAAGAAAUGGAAACACGAUCGUUAAGGAAGCUUAAGCGGAAAGCAUCAGAGUGUGGAAUACGCCGGCAUUUUCCAGGUUACAACGAGGUCAUUCCGGACGAUUUGGAUUAGAAGUGAGUCGUUGGCCGAGUCUGUGUAUUGCUGUUCCUGUUGCUUGAAGUUCUUCCCAUUUGGUACUCUAUCGAUUUACUAGCUUUUCUUUCAAUGUUGAACUCUGUGAGGUCCGCCUACCUGGGAGCGCGCCUCACCCCGUUGUCUUAUUGUUGUUGUUGAACUCCCCUUUCAUUUCGGUUAUGAUGUAAGCCCCAAGGCAUCACAGUGCACUUGCUCACUUUAUUUUGUUGCAUUUCCAGACUUGUUAAUUUGAAUGUUGGGUUGUUGAUUUA